rnacentral:rRNA from 1 species
UACGUAGGGUGCAAGCGUUGUCCGGAAUUAUUGGGCGUAAAGAGCGUGUAGGCGGCCCGAUUAGUCCGCUGUGAAAGUCCAGGGCUCAACCCUGGAAUGCCGGUGGAUACUGUCGGGCUAGAGUCCGGAAGGGGCGAGUGGAAUUCCUGGUGUAGCGGUGAAAUGCGCAGAUAUCAGGAGGAACACCAAUGGCGAAGGCAGCUCGCUGGGACGUGACUGACGCUGAGACGCGAAAGCGUGGGGAGCAGACAGG